UACGUAGGGCGCAAGCGUUGUCCGGAAUUAUUGGGCGUAAAGAGCUCGUAGGCGGUCCGUCACGUCGGAUGUGAAAUUCCAGGGCUCAACCCUGGACCUGCAUUCGAUACGGGCGGACUAGAGUUCGGUAGGGGAGACUGGAAUUCCUGGUGUAGCGGUGAAAUGCGCAGAUAUCAGGAGGAACACCGGUGGCGAAGGCGGAUCCUGGGCCAGUACUGACGCUGAGGAGCGAAAGCGUGGGGAGCAAAGCAGG
rnacentral:rRNA from 1 species